AGUACACGCCUCCUUGGGACCGGAGAGGAAGGGUAAUGGGGAGGACGGCACUUGUAGCCGAUGCUUUCCAUUUCCUAGUCCUUGCAGGCUUGAAGUCCCUGGGCAUUGAGUCUCCGAGCGAGCGAGACGGUAGGCUCAUAUUCACGUCCUCUGGUGUUUUGCCUUGCUACUGGGAAUCGUAGAUUCACGUCAGUUUUAAGGUCCCAACGCCCCCACUACGCGUAAUGCCGAGGGUUUCCCACUUCUGGAAAACAGUAUAGAAAGCCGUUGGAUGAAUAGGGACUCCGUGUGCAACUGCUUGGAAGUGAGGCUGAGCUGGAGUGUUCAGGAUCUGUUAGGGAGAGACCGGGUAGAGUGGUAAUCUAAGAGAGAUAGAGGGAGCCCCGGGAGUCUGGAAGGGUUGAAGCACCCUAAGCUUCCUCUGGCUGCCCAGGGGCAAUGAGAUGCUCGGGGUGAACUGGAAGAAGGAAGGGAGACUCAUAAGGAGACUCUACCUUAAGUGUCAAACUUGUGGUUACUGAAGACAUACUCCAUGAGCACUUUUCUAAUUAUCUUUCUUAUUUCCACAUCAUAAAAUCUGGCUAGUUUAACAACAGAUGCAAAGUUAUAUUGCUCCGACCUCCAAGUUCACAGUUUCAGUCAAGCUACAACCAUCAC
rnacentral:lncRNA from 1 species